CUUGAGCGAGCCCAGCCACAAAGGCGCUUCCGCGUCCCGCCCGGCGCCGUAGGUCGCCAGCAGCGCCUGCGCCUC
rnacentral:antisense_RNA from 2 species